CUGCAGCCACAGCAGCCACAGCAGCAGCGUCCGCAGCCACUGCAACAACAACAGCCACUGCAACAGCAGCAAGUCAACAUUGAUGGCAUGCAAGCAGAUGAAAUCGAUUUACUGCUGCAGCUACUGAAAGAAAGGAACGAGAGAGAGAUGUAAAACAUCAACAGAAUAGAAUCAACACAAUAUUUGUUGUACAAUCAUUUAUAUAUAUUAAAAUAUUUAUAUAUUA